CCCGAAACCAGGUGAUCUACCCUUGGUCAGGUUGAAGUUCAGGUAACACUGAAUGGAGGACCGAACCGACUUACGUUGAAAAGUGAGCGGAUGAACUGAGGGUAGCGGAGAAAUUCCAAUCGAACUUGGAGAUAGCUGGUUCUCUCCGAAAUAGCUUUAGGGCUAGCCUCAAGUGAUGAUUAUUGGAGGUAGAGCACUGUUUGGACGAGGGGCCCCUCUCGGGUUACCGAAUUCAGACAAACUCCGAAUGCCAAAUAAUUUAACUUGGGAGUCAGAAUGUGGGUGAUAAGGUCCAUAUUCGAAAGGGAAACAGCCCAGACCACCAGCUAAGGUCCCAAAAUAUAUGUUAAGUGGAAAAGGAUGUGGCGUUGCCCAGACAACUAGGAUGUUGGCUUAGAAGCAGCCAUCAUUUAAAGAGUGCGUAAUAGCUCACUAGUCGAGUGACACUGCGCCGAAAAUGUACCGGGGCUAAACAUAUUACCGAAGCUGUGGAUUGUCCUUUGGACAAUGGUAGGAGAGCGUUCUAAGGGCGUUGAAGCAUGAUCGCAAGGACAUGUGGAGCGCUUAGAAGUGAGAAUGCCGGUGUGAGUAGCGAAAGACGGGUGAGAAUCCCGUCCACCGAUUGACUAAGGUUUCCAGAGGAAGGCUCGUCCGCUCUGGGUUAGUCGGGUCCUAAGCUGAGGCCGACAGGCGUAGGCGAUGGAUAACAGGUUGAUAUUCCUGUACCACCAUUAUUCGUUUUAAGCGAUGGGGGGACGCAGUAGGAUAGGCGAAGCGUGCUGUUGGAGUGCACGUCCAAGCAGUGAGAUUGAGUGUUAGGCAAAUCCGGCACUCUUAAGAUUGAGCUGUGAUGGGGAGAGGAACUUGUUCCUCGAGUCGUUGAUUUCACACUGCCGAGAAAAGCCUCUAGCUAGAAUAACGGUGCCCGUACCGCAAACCGACACAGGUAGUCAAGAUGAGAAUUCUAAGGUGAGCGAGCGAACUCUCGUUAAGGAACUCGGCAAAAUGACCCCGUAACUUCGGGAGAAGGGGUGCUCUUUGAGGUUCACGCUUCGAAGAGCCGCAGUGAAUAGGCCCAAGCGACUGUUUAUCAAAAACACAGGUCUCUGCUAAACCGUAAGGUGACGUAUAGGGGCUGACGCCUGCCCGGUGCUGGAAGGUUAAGAGGAGUGGUUAGCGCAAGCGAAGCUACGAAUCGAAGCCCCAGUAAACGGCGGCCGUAACUAUAACGGUCCUAAGGUAGCGAAAUUCCUUGUCGGGUAAGUUCCGACCCGCACGAAAGGCGUAACGAUUUGGGCACUGUCUCAACGAGAGACUCGGUGAAAUCAUAGUACCGGUGAAGAUGCCGGUUACCCGCGACAGGACGGAAAGACCCCGUGGAGCUUUACUGUAGCCUGAUAUUGAAAUUCGGUACAGUUUGUACAGGAUAGGUAGGAGCCUUAGAAGCGUGAGCGCUAGCUUACGUGGAGGCAUUGGUGGGAUACUACCCUAAUUGUAUUGGAUUUCUAACCCGCAGCACUUAUCGUGCUGGGAGACAGUGUCAGGCGGGCAGUUUGACUGGGGCGGUCGCCUCCUAAAGAGUAACGGAGGCGCUCAAAGGUUCCCUCAGAAUGGUUGGAAAUCAUUCAUAGAGUGUAAAGGCAUAAGGGAGCUUGACUGCGAGACCUACAAGUCGAGCAGGGUCGAAAGACGGACUUAGUGAUCCGGUGGUUCCGCAUGGAAGGGCCAUCGCUCAACGGAUAAAAGCUACCCCGGGGAUAACAGGCUUAUCUCCCCCAAGAGUUCACAUCGACGGGGAGGUUUGGCACCUCGAUGUCGGCUCAUCGCAUCCUGGGGCUGUAGUCGGUCCCAAGGGUUGGGCUGUUCGCCCAUUAAAGCGGUACGCGAGCUGGGUUCAGAACGUCGUGAGACAGUUCGGUCCCUAUCCGUCGUGGGCGUAGGAAAUUUGAGAGGAGCUGUCCUUAGUACGAGAGGACCGGGAUGGACAUACCUCUGGUGUACCAGUUGUCGUGCCAACGGCAUAGCUGGGUAGCUAUGUAUGGACGGGAUAAGUGCUGAAAGCAUCUAAGCAUGAAGCCCCCCUCGAGAUGAGAUUUCCCAACUUCGGUUAUAAGAUCCCUCAAAGAUGAUGAGGUGAAU
rnacentral:rRNA from 1 species